AACACAAACAUUGACUACCAGAAGUUUGGAGCUGCACCCUAUUUUCAGAGAUACGUUUACAGCACCAGACUCCCAGGGAACGACAGGAGAAAGGAGCCACAAUCAAAUAAAUCAAGACCCAUUCAACACUGAAUUUACCAAGACACUGACAAAAAGCAGCCCACGCUUUGGGGCCUUGAGUCACCACUCAUUCUUCUCCCGGCACAACCCUCAUCCACACCGGGUGACACAUAUUCAAGCACUGUUUUCAGAAGCCUGGAGGGAUGAACUUAAAGAACUUGUUGCAAAAGUCAAUCUGUCUUUCGAGCACAAUUGGGAAAAAAUGAGGACCAACCUGAGGAUGAAUUUGUGCACCAAAAG
ensembl:lncRNA